GUUUAAAAGAAUUUAUCGGAUCUAAUACAUGUUAAUGUAUUUUUUAUUAUUGUUAGUUUAAUAACUACGCUUGUUGUCGUCACCAAGACAUCUGGCAUCAUUCUGAAUUACCAUCGUAAAUUUCCGCGAUAUUAGACCGUUGAAAAACUAUUUAAAAAGUCAGUAAUGCAGUUUAGAUUGGUCUAUAAAGUGUGCGUUGCCAAAAUAGGUUUCUCUUAAAGGUGACAAGAAUGGCAAGCAGACGUGCUCUAAAAGCCGUCCUCAUUGAUCUAAGUGGAACUCUGCACGUAGAAGACACGGCAGUUCCCGGGGCUCAGGACGCCCUGUCCAGGCUACGACAGGCGUCUGUCGCCGUCAAGUUUGUGACCAACACAACCAAAGAGAAUAAGAAGAACCUGCUGGAAAGGCUUCAACGGCUCAACUUUGACCUCCAGGAAAAAGAAAUCUUCACAUCCCUGAGUGCCGCGAGAAGUCUUUUAGAGAAGACAAAACACAGACCGUUGCUCCUGGUGGAGGACAAUGCCCUUCUCGAUUUUGCAGGUAUCGACACAUCCGACCCCAAUGCCGUGGUCAUUGGACUCGCUCCCGAUCACUUCGACUACCAAACUAUGAAUAAGGCUUUCAGACUGAUCCUGGACGGUGCGCCGCUCUUCGCCAUCCAUAAGGCUCGUUACUAUAAAAGGAAAGAUGGUUUGGCUCUCGGCCCCGGGCCCUUUGUCACCGGGCUGGAGUAUGCCACGGACUGUAAAGCAACUGUCGUGGGAAAGCCGGAAAAGACGUUUUUCACACAGGCUCUGGCUGAUUUGGGAUGCAGCCCAGACGAAGCAGUCAUGAUAGGAGACGACGCCAGGGAUGACGUCGGAGGAGCUCAGAGUGCUGGAAUGUUGGGAAUCCUGGUCCGAACCGGUAAAUACAGACAAGGAGACGAGAAUAAAAUCGAGCCGCCUCCUCACCUGACGUGCGACGCUUUCCCUGAUGCUGUCGAGCACAUCCUCAAGAAUCUACUAUAACGUCACCUGAUUAAGGCAAGUCAGAUAAAAAAAAAAACCUCCAAUGAUAUCUCAUAGCUGCUUUUUAAUGACUCUUCUAAGUAGACCAGAUAAUGUCUAAGAACCACAUCAACACAUGUCCAGGAGUGAAAGCAAAAACGCUCCAUCAGACGGAUUCAAAGUCUUUCUCCCAAGCCGUGUGUUUCUCCAUUAACCCGCUGGCCGACGGUUUGGUGUGCGCCAGGACUUCCAGGAAGUCCUGCGUUGUCACCGUUUCCAGCCGCAUGGCUUGCAUGCGCGUGUCUCCUGGACAAAGAGUUUCAGUCAGCACCUAAGUCCAGGACGUGAACUUACCCGGUCCUACCGUUCUUAUUCGACUCCAGAGCUUCAAAGAUUUUACGGGCUUGUCUCAUGACGGCCUCCUUACACACCAGUCUGAUGUCAGAGCCCGAGUAGCCAUUCGUCUCCUGCCCGAGAAACAUUUCAUUUGCCAAUCCCGACGACAAAUGGAUCGACUUACCUUGGCCAGAAGUUGAUAGUCUAGCUCGGUUUUUAACUGCAGCUCUCCCGUGAAGCUGACAGGAGGCAGCCAAUGAGAGAUCAUGGCUUGGCGGGACUCUUCAGGAGGAAGACCAACCAGAAUCCUCUUUUCUAGUCUUCUUAGCAUUCCUUGGUCCAGUUCCCUGAGGGAGGGAGGCUUUUAAAUGUGAGGCCACAGAGGAAAUUUCCUUCCAAUCUUUUUUAAAAACUUUAAAUCGAGGGGAAGAAUUUGUAAAUUUUAACAUUGUACGUUACCAAGGCAGAUUGGAGGCGGCCAGUACAAAAAUCAGGUCCUCGGAUCUCGCCAGUCCGUCCAUCUGGACCAGCAGCUCCGCCUUCAACCUUCGACUGCCCUCAUGCUCGCCUCUAAAAUUCCGAUUAAUUAUUACGAUUAUUCAUUGAUUUCAAGACGAGUGAUUUGGCAGAUGAGAGGAUUCGUUAAAUUAUGCAAGGCUUACAAUAUGUUGUUUCCUCUCUGGCCCAUCAUCGACUCCACCUCAUCCAGAAAGAUAGUGGAAGGCGCGUGGUAGCGGGCCAUCUCAAACAGAACCUGCAAAAAAAAAAAGUUUGGCAUGUGACUAGUGACAGAAAAUUAACUUGCCAGUUUCCUUAGCUAUCAUGAAAAUUAAACAGAAUAAUUUUUUUGAUACAUUGCAAGAAAUAUGUGAGUGUGUCUAAUAUUGUGACCAGCUAAAUACUGACCCGGACCAGUUUUUCCGAGUCUCCUCUCCACUUGCUCACUAAGCUCGAUGCCGUUAUGUUGAAAAAGGUCGUCUUGCAUUCAGUAGCCACCGCCUUAGCCAGCAGGGUCUUGCCCGUACCUGUGAGAUGCGUUGCGGGUAAUUUGAGGCUCAUUUAAAACAGCCGUAUCACAUUAAGAUGUUUUUUUUUCUUACCCGGGGGUCCGUAAAGUAACAAUCCCUUCCACGGAGCAAGGAGUCCUUUAAAAAGCUGGGGAUACUGUGGCAAGCAGGAAUGUAAUAAUAAAAAGGAGCACGUUUUUAGAAAAAACACGUGUGGCGAUCGCAAAGGGCGUCACGAACAAAUAUGUGCAUUAAUAUGAAUCCGAGGUGAUAAACAGGUGCUGUGUGAAAUCACCAAAGUGACCUUCUACCCUGGAGAAUGAAUAGUAAUGGAGACGGAAAGUGGUGGCGGGAUGUUAUUCAAUAAAGCAAGCGCUGCAGGGAGCCAGAUAGACGUUCGCAUCGGUCCUCAUCUCGUUGCGUAAAUGUCAAGAGGAUGCAGACGACCCGAUUUGACGUCAUCGCAUCCAUCAGAAGCCUCCGAGUGAUGACAUGGGGAUGAGCGUGGAUAGAAAUUCUCCCGUCCCUCCGUCUUGCCAUAUUAUCCCACGUAUAGAUUUCACGUCAGCCUGGCCGACUUGCCUGACCCCCGUCCUUUAAAGGAGAUGUAUUCAGAAUCGAAGCGGCGGAAUAGCGACCCGGCUCACCUUAAUGGGAUAGACGAUGGCCUCUUUGACUAAUCGCUUUGCAUCCUCCAGGCCGAUGAUGUCGUCCCAUUUUACGUUGGGGCUGUGCAAAUAAAUGUCCUGAAAAGGGACAGACGCACAGACAGAGUGAUGCGCGCGGAAGCUAACAGGUAGCCGGACAUCUCGACAAAGCGCUUUACCGCGCUCUAGUGGGAUCACGGAAUUACACACUGGAUCGAAUAUUUUAACAUUUAGAUGAAGUCCAGUUUGACACCAUAGAGAACUACAAUCACAUCAUUCAAUUAAUACAGUGUCAAUCUUGUGAUGGGCAAAUGAAGCUUCAAAUGGGCUUCAUGAACCAGUUGUGUUUUUUUUUCAACAUUGUGUGUAUGCGGUACCUUAUUAAUGACUGUGGCAAAUUCUCUCAUCUCACCACCCAGUCCCGCAAAACCGCUGAGGGGCUUCAGCAGCCGAUCCUGCCCAGCAACAAAUUAAAUGACGGAUAAAUUAAUAAGAAGGGUAGUGUGCAGCGACGAAGGUCUAGAAAUGGUUUCGUUUACUAUAGCUUUGAUUCUAAUGCAUAAAUAAAAGCGAAUGAUAAGACUAUGCGACAUUCAAAUGGAAAUUUGAACAAAAAUUUGUUACUGCGGGAAUUGACCUCUUGCUCGCCAUCUCCUUUGCAGGCCGUUUGGACCUACGACACAAUACGUGCACAAUGUUUAGAGUCCCGGCGAAAACCGCCCCUCCAGUUUGCACAGAAGAUAUGGGGGAAACACUGAGAACAAAGUCUGUGAAUUCUGAAGGACUACACGAGCUAUCACCCUGGAAAAUGAAACAAAAAGGGGCAGCAGCGUUCCCUCGGACGUCUCCGCCAAGAUUUGGAGGCUGGAUUUUGGGGAGAGGCUUCACAACGGAACAAGCGGCCCUAGUGGAGAAAUGAGGUGAAAGGCUGUGUAUAAAUAAUAUCAAUAAGAUUUGACUUGCACACCCACCUUUUUUUUCCACUACUUUUCAAAUUCCUGCUAUCACCUUGAAUGAGAACUGAAAAGACAAACGAAGACUUUUAAGCACCAUGGUGUUUUGUUAUUCUGCCUCUGAAAUUGAGUCACCUGGUUCUACAACUUUCUUGAUAAGUUUGGGAUACUUCUGGUACUUCACAUAGUGAUAACUCUCGUACUCCAUCAACAUCAUCUCCAAGUCCACGUUUUCGCAAACUUCAAACUUCUUCACACUUCCGUUCAUCUCCUGGUCCAAGGCCACUGCUGUGUUCACAUAACUGUCGGAUAGACGCAGAAUAUUUUUACCUUUUGCUUUUUGUGAGAAAUGUUUAGAGAAUAUACGGAAGUCGGUACUGACCCGUGCCUCAUCAGAUGUUGGUAGAUUAACAUGAGGAGGCUCUUCUUCCUCAUUUCAAUCCUCAACUCAUCCUAGAAAUAAGCACGUAAGAAAGGCGGUAGAAAAAAAAUACAACUUCAAUUGGUGUUAGGGACAAAAGAAAUAUUUUUUUUCUCACACAAAUUUGAUGAGCUCACUCAAACAUCACACAUUGUUCUCCAUCCUGCACUAGCAUUUAUAGCCAACAGAGGGAGACAAACUGGCAUAAAUUUCGCUCACUCUGUAACCAGGCAACAGUGAACGCCGAGAAAACAUUAAAUACAGAGCUACUAAAUACCUCACCCAACAAAUAGAACAUCUAGAAAUUAUUGCAUGCAUAACAUGGUGGGGGGAAGCACUAACUGGAUCCAAUUAAAUGUGUGUGUUUCUAUUUUGAUGACAUUUGUUCAAUAUGUUUGCAGUGUUAGUAUAUAAAAACACUUGGCCUGUACAAAAAAGUACGGAAAUGCACGAUGAACAGGACUUACCGCCUCCCGGGCUUGGUUUGCAUGUUUUACUGAACUGUAAGAAGCGUCCAUUUGUAAUAAAUCGUAAUUAUCGUGCGUUUUUUCGAUAAGCGUUCGAGGGGAAAUGGUCGGAAUAUUUACGGCGGUAGUUUGUCCCUCGGGACAUGCCGUAUUUAUUUCUCCUCAUUAUUUGUUUGUACAUAUGCCACAUUUAUUAGCGUGUAAACGAUGAAUGGACUUAUUUGAAAUCGUCAUUAACGUUUUAAUGUACGUUCUUUAUUGCUCCAAAGCAAGUAGCAUUAAUUGCAUUUUGCGUCAAUUUAUGUCAAUCUUAGAUUACAUAAUGUCGGGAAUGUAACUUGUUGCGCGCUUUGAUUAUUGCUUAAGUGUUUCGGGUUUUUUUUUAAAUCAAAGCGUAAAGUCGUAAUAAGACUCAAGGGUAAUAUAGUUCAAAAAACGUUUAUUCUCAAUUUGUGCAACAUUUAAGUAUUUUUUCAUUCUUUUAACACUUAUAUGAACCAUAUACUGAACAGUGUGAAACUUUAUAGCUUUGUAAUUGAGAAUUCAUCCUAUUAAAAAUGUCAUUUAGAGGUUGUGGUAGAAAAGUAA